rnacentral:ribozyme from 1 species
UGUCCGGUAACUCCUAUCCCUACCUCCCCGUGGUGCCGCCUGGGGUACGAGUAACCGUAGGGAAGAUCGGGUAACCAACCCUGGUGGGAUGCUGACAGGGAAGG